rnacentral:rRNA from 1 species
AUUGAACGCUGGCGGCAUGCCUUACACAUGCAAGUCGAACGGCAGCACGGGUGCUUGCACCUGGUGGCGAGUGGCGCACGGGUGAGUAAUACAUCGGAACAUGUCCUGUAGUGGGGGAUAGCCCGGCGAAAGCCGGAUUAAUACCGCAUACGAUCUACGGAUGAAAGCGGGGGACCUUCGGGCCUCGCGCUAUACGGUUGGCCGAUGGCUGAUUAGCUAGUUGGUGGGGUAAAGGCCUACCAAGGCGACGAUCAGUAGCUGGUCUGAGAGGACGACCAGCCACACUGGGACUGAGACACGGCCCAGACUCCUACGGGAGGCAGCAGUGGGGAAUUUUGGACAAUGGGCGAAAGCCUGAUCCAGCAAUGCCGCGUGUGUGAAGAAGGCCUUCGGGUUGUAAAGCACUUUUGUCCGGAAAGAAAUCCUUGGCCCUAAUACGGUCGGGGGAUGACGGUACCGGAAGAAUAAGCACCGGCUAACUACGUG